rnacentral:rRNA from 1 species
UGGGGAAUCUUAGACAAUGGGCGCAAGCCUGAUCUAGCCAUGCCGCGUGUGUGAUGAAGGCCUUAGGGUCGUAAAGCACUUUCGCCAGGGAUGAUAAUGACAGUACCUGGUAAAGAAACCCCGGCUAACUCCGUGCCAGCAGCCGCGGUAAUACGGAGGGGGUUAGCGUUGUUCGGAAUUACUGGGCGUAAAGCGUACGUAGGCGGAUCAGAAAGUAGGGGGUGAAAUCCCGAGGCUCAACCUCGGAACUGCCUCCUAAACUCCUGGUCUUGAGUUCGAGAGAGGUGAGUGGAAUUCCAAGUGUAGAGGUGAAAUUCGUAGAUAUUUGGAGGAACACCAGUGGCGAAGGCGGCUCACUGGCUCGAUACUGACGCUGAGGUACGAAAGUGUGGGGAGCAAACAGGAUUAGAUACCCUGGUAGUCCACACCGUAAACGAUGAAUGCCAGUCGUCGGGCAGUAUACUGUUCGGUGACACACCUAACGGAUUAAGCAUUCCGCCUGGGGAGUACGGUCGCAAGAUUA